rnacentral:tRNA from 1 species
GCACCCAUAGCUCAGCUGGAUAGAGUGAUGGACUUCGAAUCCAGGGGCCGGGAGUUCGAAUCUCCCUGGGUGCACCA